rnacentral:rRNA from 1 species
CCUACGGGAGGCAGCAGUGAGGAAUAUUGGUCAAUGGGCGCAAGCCUGAACCAGCCAAGUCGCGUGCGGGAAGACGGUCCUAUGGAUUGUAAACCUCUUUUAUCCGGGAGUAAAAUACGCCACGCGUGACGUUUCGUGGGUACCCCAAGAAUAAGCAUCGGCUAAUUCCGUGCCAGCAGCCGCGGUAAUACGGAGGAUGCGAGCGUUAUCCGGAUUUAUUGGGUUUAAAGGGUGCGCAGGCGGAAGAUAAAGUCUGCGGUAAAAUUGAGAGGCUCAACCUCGUAGAGCCGUUGCAACUGGUUUGCUUGAGUGAGUGAGAAGUAUGCGGAAUGCGUGGUGUAGCGGUGAAAUGCAUAGAUAUCACGAAGAACUCCGAUUGCGAAGGCAGCAUACCGGCGCGCAACUGACGCUGAUGCACGAAAGUGUGGGUAUCGAACAGGAUUAGAUACCCGAGUAGUC